UACGACCCCACUACGACCCACAACGAUCCACAACGAAUACAAAAUUGCAACUGAAGGUAAUUUUGGGAUCGUUGUGGGUCGUUGUGGGUCGUUGUGGAUCGU